rnacentral:rRNA from 1 species
ACGGGGGGAGCAAGCGUUGUUCGGAUUUACUGGGCGUAAAGGGCGUGCAGGUGGUUUUCUAAGUGGUGCGUGAAAGCGCUCGGCUCAACCGGGCGAGGCCGUGCCAAACUGGGAGACUAGAAACAGGCAGAGGAAAGUGGAAUUCGGGGUGUAGUGGUGAAAUGCGUAGAGAUCCCGAGGAACUCCUGUGGCGAAGGCGACUUUCUGGGCCUGCUUUGACACUCAGACGCGAAAGCAUGGGGAGCGAACGGGA